AUUGAACGCUGGCGGUAGGCCUAACACAUGCAAGUCGAACGCGAAAAGUCCUUCGGGAUGAGUAGAGUGGCGGACGGGUGAGUAACGCGUAGGAAUCUAUCCUGUAGUGGGGGAUAACGUUUCGAAAGGAACGCUAAUACCGCAUACGCCCCACGGGGGAAAGCGGGGGAUCUUCGGACCUCGUGCUAUAGGAGGAGCCUGCGUCGGAUUAGCUAGUUGGUGAGGUAAAGGCUCGCCAAGGCGACGAUCCGUAGCUGGUCUGAAAGGAUGAUCAGCCACACCGGAACUGAGACACGGUCCGGACUCCUACGGGAGGCGGCAGUGGGGAAUAUUGCGCAAUGGGCGAAAGCCUGACGCAGCCAUACCGCGUGUGUGAAGAAGGCC
rnacentral:rRNA from 1 species